UCAAGCAGAUGGCCUUACCUUUGGGUCAUUAUCUUAUCGCAACCAAAACCGUGAUCCACCCAAGUGACUGGGUGGGUGGGGGUGACAUUCCUGGAGCUGUUUGGGCAGAUACACACUAACAAAUUUUUUACACGCCCAUUUGGCACUCGUGUGUGACUUUAGCAGGCAUGGACAGAGAGGUUCAAGGUUGUCACUGAGCAGCUGCAGAGCACCCUGUGUGGGGAGAGUGAACAACCAGCAGUCCUGGUGCACAUCGGAGCCAACGACACAGGAGAAGCUGGCUCACAUCAGCAGGGAGAGGUCCCAGGCCAGGGGUGGAGUGGCUCACAUUAG